UGGGGAAUUUUGGACAAUGGGCGAAAGCCUGAUCCAGCCAUGCCGCGUGAGUGAAGAAGGCCUUCGGGUUGUAAAGCUCUUUUAGUCGGAAAGAAAGAGUUGCAAUGAAUAAUUGUGAUUUAUGACGGUACCGACAGAAAAAGCACCGGCUAACUACGUGCCAGCAGCCGCGGUAAUACGUAGGGUGCGAGCGUUAAUCGGAAUUACUGGGCGUAAAGGGUGCGCAGGCGGUCUUGCAAGUCAGAUGUGAAAGCCCCGGGCUUAACCUGGGAAUUGCGUUUGAAACUACAAGGCUAGAGUGCAGCAGAGGGGAGUGGAAUUCCAUGUGUAGCAGUGAAGUGCGUAGAGAUGUGGAAGAACACCGAUGGCGAAGGCAGCUCCCUGGGUUGACACUGACGCUCAUGCACGAAAGCGUGGGGAGCAAACA
rnacentral:rRNA from 1 species